UACGUAGGGUGCGAGCGUUGUCCGGAAUUAUUGGGCGUAAAGAGCUUGUAGGCGGUCUGUCGCGUCUGCCGUGAAAGUCCGGGGCUCAACUCCGGAUCUGCGGUGGGUACGGGCAGACUAGAGUGAUGUAGGGGAGACUGGAAUUCCUGGUGUAGCGGUGAAAUGCGCAGAUAUCAGGAGGAACACCGAUGGCGAAGGCAGGUCUCUGGGCAUUAACUGACGCUGAGGAGCGAAAGCAUGGGGAGCGAACAGG
rnacentral:rRNA from 1 species